CGGCAUGCUUAACAUGCAGUCGAACGGUAACAGGUUAAGCUGACGAGUGGCGAACGGGUGAGUAAUAUAUCGGAACGUGCCCAGUUGUGGGGGAUAACUACUCGAAAGAGUAGCUAAUACCGCAUGAGACCUGAGGGUGAAAGCGGGGGAUCGCAAGACCUCGCGCAGUUGGAGCGGCCGAUAUCAGAUUAGCUAGUUGGCGGGGUAAAAGCCCACCAAGGCGACGAUCUGUAGCUGGUCUGAGAGGACGACCAGCCACACUGGGACUGAGACACGGCCCAGACUCCUACGGGAGGCAGCAGUGAGGAAUCUUCCACAAUGGACGAAAGUCUGAUGGAGCAACGCCGCGUGCAGGAUGAAGGCCCUCGGG
rnacentral:rRNA from 1 species